CGGCUGCCAGAGGCUGCUCGGCGCCGGCCCCGCUGGCUGCCAGCGGCCGACUUUCCCCCGCACCUCCCCUUUUCCCUCGCGGAGAGACUGGGGGGCAGCGCAAAAAGCCCUUCCGAGCUCGGGAGUACCCGUGUCGACUGAGGGAGCCCCCGCCCUUAGCGGCACCCACGACUCUUAGCCUCUGGUACUGAGUCGGACUGAAGGCGGGAGUCCUAGCUGAAAGGAGCCGUCGAAACGCCUCCCGACCUAACCCCGUACACCAAACACGAGUAAAUGAGGCACGGACUGGUGUCUGCAGCACACCCCUCGGUAGAAGCAAAUCUGAGGAAGGAAUUCUGGGGUGAUUAUUGCUGCUUCUACUUUCUGAAGUGAGAUAGAUUGUAAAGCAGGUACAUCAAAGGCAGACGUCUCUAGAGUGCCAAAGAAGAAUGUAAAGCUGGGUUGUGCUGUUUCUCAGUCCUGUGUGGAACACUGGGCUGUUUCCAACCCUCUACAGAUUUCUUCCUGGAGUGGGCAACUUCAGCUGCUUCAGCAUGCCGCCAGCAAAACCAGUGUGGAAACAUCUAGGCUUCUGUUGUUCAUGGAUGUAGCAGAAAGGCUAAGUCAUGGCUUGAACCAGUGAUUGAGCACCUGGUGGGAAGGCGGGGCCAAUCCAGGGGAUCUCAGGUGUAUGCAAUGCCCCUGAGUGACCAGAAGGGGUGGAGUCAGGGUCCACCCUUCCCAGUCCUCAUUUAAGGGUUGGCAGUGGAG
ensembl:lncRNA